rnacentral:lncRNA from 1 species
ACAGAUUCGUUCUUCCCCCUUACUCUGCUCUCCAGGAAUUGGCUUUUUACAAACAUUUCCAAGGCUACUUUCGUCAACUGCCGUCAAGCUAGGUGGGAUAAAUGGGAAGCUGUGAUAUGAGUUUGGGGCCAAAGAAAGGGAUAAGUCGAGCUGGCCACACAACCGUCUCACUGCUUCAGGAAGUAGCCUGAUCUCUCUGUGGUUCUAAUUCUAAUCAGGGUUCUAAACAGCCGCUCCCACUGUGAUGUCACCUUCUGCUGUGUGGCCCUUGUUCCUUGGCUCUUUUAAUAUCUUUGCCUUCUCCCGUUGCCCUCCAGGUCUAGGAAUGGAAGUGUUUUGCUGAUGUAGCUAAUGUUGGGGUCAAAGAAAGAAUAUAAUACACUUAUGAAAAAGAGACAGCCUCAUCAAUCCAGUUUUUCUUGGCUCAGUCAGCAGAAGAAACAGAAAUGCUGUCAUUGCUUACAUGUGAGAUAAAGGAUAAAAAGAGGGAAUGUGUUGGUUUACUGCAAAGGCCAUUCUUUUGGUUUGAGAACAUUGCUGGAAAUAACCUGAGCUGAGAAAAGCUCCCUAUGAGGAAUACAUGUUAUGGGAAACUGUUAAAGGCAAAGCUUGGUCACUGACCUUCUCCGUGUAGUUUAAUCAAGCUGCAAGCACCCCACCAAAAAAGACAGCUGCUUAAAGAAGAGAGCCCUCAACAAGCCAGGACAUUUUACCUUUCCUCUAUUACAUGAGUUGGGGAUAAGACACAAGUGCGCAAUAAAUUUCUAGUUCUCGCAUUCAGAGGCUGCACUAUAAUAAUGAUAGACUAUAAAUCACAGAAAAAAUGUUACCUUUAUUUUAGGACGGUCGAUAGCUAGAAACAGUGCUCACCAAUAGCACAGAUGUCUAGCAGAUAUAAAAACAAAUGCUUGGCAGUUGUUUAAAAAUGGGAAGUACGAGGAUCUGCCCCGAAAUAUAUUAGAAAACAGCAGCAGUUCAUCGUUUUGUCAAGUUUCCAGUUUUGCAAUUUACUAUUUUUUUAAAAAAAAAUCCCGUGUUCCGUUGUUGAAGAUAGAACUGCAACUUUGGGAAAGAGAAAAAAUUUUGGUCACGCAUUUCUGCAAAACUCUUGUAAACAUUUGUGGAUGGUAUCUACAUACACGAGCUUUUAUAUAAAUGUGUUUUAAAGUUUAAGGAAAAUUGAACGUGAGGAAUUGAAGUAAGAUGAGGCUGUAUACGAAUGGGAGGCUCCUGCAAGGACCCGAGGGGACUGGAACUAGGAUUUCAAUGUGCCAACUAUUAGCUAAUUGUGAAGAUGACACUGCCUGGCCAGACUCAGAGUCCACAUCCCAGCGGCUGCCUCAAAAGAGCUGUUAGAAGAAGAAAAUGCUCAUUUGUUGCAACUGAGACCAUGUGCUCUGAAAUCCAGUCAUGGGCAUUGGAAAUGGAGAUCCCUCUAAAAACUGUGGCAAUGCUGAGGGUCCAAGAGGCUCUUGAUACCACUCCUGGAGAGGUUGUUUUCUCUGGAAGCAGGAACUGAGAGUGAAUUUGGGAUUAUGUUCACUAAUUGAGGAAUGGAAAGACUGCUGUUGCAAGAGAGAAAAAUCUGGAAAAACAGGUCUUAUACUGAAGAGAAUUAUCAAAUCAAAAGCACAAGUGAAAAUUGAAAUAUUGACAAGGAAGAGGAACAGAAGAAAGAACUGAGAGAAAAUAUUAUCGUGAUCAAUAUGGAAGUAAAAUCUACAAGUUCAAAUGAGACUUAGAGUUAUUCUCUGAAGAUUUAGCAACAAAGACUGCCAAGUGUUUAAUCAAAAGGCAAUGUACAAGGGGCCAGGGAUACAGUGAUGAGCAAAAAGAUUUCUGUGCCUUCAUUGACCCUAUAUUUUAGCAAGAGAGACAGAUUGCAUUUUCUCACGAUAAAAAUGGAUAGUUGUGGCUUGGAAAAUGGGAAACUGGACCAACUAUGAACUAGAGCAAAGUUGAAGACAACUCUAAAUGUUUCGAGAGUAUUUUUGGUAAUUCCCUGAGCUUUCCUGACAAUUGGUCCUUCUACCCUCACUGCAUCCUGUGGGAUAAUGUUACAUACCCGAAGUCCGGGAGGCAGCACGGUGCAACUUCAGGGGUAGUAGCAGUUUUCCUUUUUUGUUUUUUUUUCAAUUAAACGGUUUUUCCGAG